rnacentral:rRNA from 1 species
ACUCCUACGGGAGGCAGCAGUGGGGAAUAUUGCACAAUGGGCGCAAGCCUGAUGCAGCCAUGCCGCGUGUGUGAAGAAGGCCUUCGGGUUGUAAAGCACUUUCUAGUCGUGAGGAAGGUAGUAGUAGUUAAUAGCUAGCUAUUAUUUGUACGUUAGCGACAGAAGAAGCACCGGCUAACUCCGUGCCAGCAGCCGCGGUAAUACGGAGGGUGCGAGCGUUAAUCGGAAUUACUGGGCGUAAAGCGCAUGCAGGUGGUUGUUAAGUCAGAUGUGAAAGCCCGGGGCUCAACCUCGGAAUAGCAUUUGAAACUGGCAGACUAGAGUACUGGUAGAGGGGGUAGAAUUUCAGGUGUAGCGGUG